AUGCAAGUCGAGCGGGGGAAGGUAGCUUGCUACCGGACCUAGCGGCGGACGGGUGAGUAAUACUUAGGAAUCUGCCUAUUAGUGGGGGACAACAUCUCGAAAGGGAUGCUAAUACCGCAUACGUCCUACGGGAGAAAGCAGGGGAUCUUCGGACCUUGCGCUAAUAGAUGAGCCUAAGUCGGAUUAGCUAGUUGGUGGGGUAAAGGCCUACCAAGGCGACGAUCUGUAGCGGGUCUGAGAGGAUGAUCCGCCACACUGGGACUGAGACACGGCCCAGACUCCUACGGGAGGCAGCAGUGGGGAAUAUUGGACAAUGGGGGGAACCCUGAUCCAGCCAUGCCGCGUGUGUGAAGAAGGCCUUAUGGUUGUAAAGCACUUUAAGCGAGGAGGAGGCUACUUUAGUUAAUACCUAGAGAUAGUGGACGUUACUCGCAGAAUAAGCACCGGCUAACUCUGUGCCAGCAGCCGCGGUAAUACAGAGGGUGCGAGCGUUAAUCGGAUUUACUGGGCGUAAAGCGUGCGUAGGCGGCUUAUUAAGUCGGAUGUGAAAUCCCCGAGCUUAACUUGGGAAUUGCAUUCGAUACUGGUGAGCUAGAGUAUGGGAGAGGAUGGUAGAAUUCCAGGUGUAGCGGUGAAAUGCGUAGAGAU
rnacentral:rRNA from 1 species